AGGCUCACGAUGAGCCUGUGAGGGGACAGGGCAGGCAUCAUUAGCUCCGUUUCACAGAUCAGAGGGGGAACCAAAGCUCCGCUGCCAAGGGCCUCCUGCCCACAACCUGCGUGGCUUACCUCCCCUUCCCAGGGCCUUCCCGCAUCUGCUGCUCUCCUAGUGCACCCAGGAGACUCCAGGAGGCUGUGGGGCCAGUAGGUGUCCAGGAUGGAGGCGCUCUGGCUGAGCCUGAGAGCCAGAGAAGUUGGAAAGAACCAUUCGAAGCUCCAGGAAUAGAAGAAACACCAGGCCAUCCUGUCUCCGGGACUCCCCAGCGAAGAGCCA